rnacentral:sRNA from 1 species
AUAAACAAAGUCUUUAAAAGUACAACUUUAAAACAUAUGUAGAUAAGUUUUUAAACAAAACGAUAGAUAGGGGUCUGAUGUUGCAUUUUCAGUCCUCGUCCACAACUUCAUCUAGCUCAGGUGUUUGCAUUCGUUGAAGGAAUUGAGUUCUGAAACAGUAGGAAAAUAGAAAAAUUAAAAAAAACGAAGACCAAAAUUUUAGAAAAUACAAUAAACAGUUAAGGGAUAAUGUAAAUAUAAAUGUUCUUACCUGACGCGAUCCAUGUUAAUCUCUGGGUAACUUUGAUUGAAUGUAAUUUUUGAAGCACCAUUAUGUGAGAUUAGACAUUGACGACCUAAAAUAUUAACAUUUUUAUUAUAUGAAGUAGCUAUAUAAAUUAUAGAUAACAUAAAAUGAGUCUUAAAUAUACCUUCAUGAUCAUCAACAUUCCAAAAUCGUAGCACACAGAUUGUAGGAUUCAUACCAAAGUUCCAGUGAUAACCAAGUUCUAGACCAAGUUCCCUCCAUAAUUGCACAAACAACUCACAAGUAUAUCCGCUUGCAACACAUAUGAGAGAUUUACCCCUAAUAACAAUAUCAAAUUAUUCCACCAAAACAUCUAAGUUCUAUGAAUUAAACCAACCAUAAAGAUAACAAUAUUUACUAUGUUUGUGCAUUCAAAUAUAUAACCAAAUAGAUGACAAAUUAUAUAGUGGAAAAUACUAACCAAGAAUUUUUAAUCUCAAAUUCGAGAAAUUGAGAAAGUAUAGUAUUUUCUGAAGCUUGAGGGACAAAGUCCGGUCUUGUUAUAUUCCCAACUCUCACGACAAUACCAUAAGCAUCUACAAAAAAAAAAACGUUAAUAUGAAAGAUUAAUAUUUUCAAAAAAAUAGACUUUAUAUUAGUGAAAAAUCUAAAUAAAAAAGUUACCAUGAACAGUUGAAGAAUUAAUAGUCUUGUUUUCGAUCAUAGAGAAGGCAGCAAAUCGGAAAAGGCUACUUGGUUCUCUAUUAGGCACAUGAGUCAUUUUGGUAGUCUGAAGGAACUUGAUUCUCAACUUAUUAUCAGUUAAGGGAGGUUUUCUACCGCCGACUGAUUUGAUCAGAAGUAUGUUUUCCAAGAAAAACCAACCUCCUUCAUUGAGAACUCUAGGGACGUCAUAUCCAGCGUAGAAUUAAGCACAAAUGGCAUCAAUCAUUGUGCCCUAAAAAAAAA